AUUGAACGCUGGCGGCAUGCUUUACACAUGCAAGUCGAACGGUAACAGGCCUUCGGGUGCUGACGAGUGGCGAACGGGCGAGUAAUGCAUCGGAACGUACCCAGAGGUGGGGGAUAACGCAGCGAAAGCUGUGCUAAUACCGCAUGUGAUCUGAGGAUGAAAGCGGGGGACCGAGCAGCAAUGUUUGGCCUCGCGCCUUUGGAGCGGCCGAUGUCGGAUUAGCUAGUUGGUGGGGUAAAGGCCUACCAAGUCGACGAUCCGUAGCUGGUCUGAGAGGACGGCAAGCCGCACUGGGAGUGGGACACGGCCCAGGGUCCUACGGGAGGCAGCAGUGGGGAAUUUUAGACAAUGGGCGCAAGCAUGAUCCAGCAGUGCCGCGUGCGGGAAGAAGGCCUUCGGGUUGUAAACCGCUUUUGGCAGGAACGAAACGGUGUCCGCUAAUACCGGGCGCUAAUGACGGUACCUGCAGAAUAAGCACCGGCUAACUACGUG
rnacentral:rRNA from 1 species